rnacentral:rRNA from 1 species
GACGAACGCGGCGGCGUGCCUAAUACAUGCAAGUCGAGCGAAGUUUUUCUGGUGCUUGCACUAGAAAAACUUAGCGGCGAACGGGUGAGUAACACGUAAAGAACCUGCCUCAUAGACUGGGACAACUAUUGGAAACGAUAGCUAAUACCGGAUAACAGCAUUAACUGCAUGGUUGAUGUUUAAAAGUUGGUUUUGCUAACACUAUGAGACGGCUUUGCGGUGCAUUAGCUAGUUGGUGGGGUAAAGGCCUACCAAGGCAACGAUGCAUAGCCGACCUGAGUGGGUGAUCGGCCACACUGGGACUGAGACACGGCCCAGACUCCUACGGGAGGCAGCAGUAGGGAAUCUUCCGCAAUGGGCGAAAGCCUGACGGAGCAACGCCGCGUGAGUGAAGAAGGAUUUCGGUUCGUAAAGCUCUGUUGUUAGGGAAGAAUGGUUGUGUAG